AUACGUAGGGGGCGAGCGUUGUCCGGAAUGAUUGGGCGUAAAGGGCGCGUAGGCGGCGCGGUAAGUCUGGAGUGAAAGUCCUGCUUUCAAGGUGGGAAUUGCUUUGGAUACUGCCGCGCUUGAGUGCAGGAGAGGUUAUCGGAAUUCCCGGUGUAGCGGUGAUAUGCGUAGAGAUCGGGAGGAACACCAGUGGCGAAGGCGGGUAACUGGACUGCAACUGACGCUGAGGCGCGAAAGUGUGGGGAGCAAACAGGAUUAGAUACCCUGGUAGUCCACACUGUAAACGAUGAAUGCUAGGUGUAAGAGGUAUCGACCCCUUUUGUGCCGGAGUCAACACAAUAAGCAUUCCGCCUGGGGAGUACGGCCGCAAGGUUGAAACUCAAAUGAAUUGACGGGG
rnacentral:rRNA from 1 species